rnacentral:sRNA from 1 species
ACCUUUUUGUCAUUUCUUGUGUAUAAAGAUUCUUUUGUUUGGUAGUCUUACAGCAUGGCAGAUUCAUUCAUUUAAUCAACAUGUAACAAGCACCUGCCAAUGCCAGAGAAUAUUCUAAGUGCUGCUUCAGUGACAACCAUAUCCUAUGUCACUUAAGGGCAGGGAAAGGAGAACCCAUCCCUCCAUCCCCUUCACGUUAUUCAAUAAUGGCGCAUGGGAACUCAUUCUAGAGAACUGGCAGUUACUGAACAGAAACUGCCAUCUUCCAUUAUGGAUUCUCUUCUCAGGGCUAUUGCUGGUUCUCCCUUUAGUUGAAAUAAGAAUUGUUCUUUGGGCUAUGCCACUUUAUCUGACCCUUUAAAGGGUUGGGAGCUGAGCUGUCACUUGCCUAAUGAAGUCCCUUUGUCUUAUAGAUCCCACGUGUGGAUGGCGAGUAUGAUCUGAAAGUACCCCGAGACAUGGCUUACGUCUUCAGUGGUGCUUAUGUGCCCCUGAGCUGCCGAAUCAUUGAGCAGGUGCUAGAGCGGCGAAGCUGGCAGGGCCUUGAUGAGGUGGUACGGCUGCUCAACUGCAGUGACUUUGCAUUCACAGAUAUGACUAAGGAAGACAAGGCUUCUAGUGAGUCCCUGCGCCUCAUCUUGGUGGUGUUCUUGGGUGGUUGUACAUUCUCUGAGAUCUCAGCCCUCCGGUUCCUGGGCAGAGAGAAAGGUAAGAGAGAGCAGAAAGGUGAGAAUUGGCCUGCAUUGUAUCUGGGUAACAAAGUGUCAGCUGGGCGCAGUGGUUCACGCCUGUAAUCUCAGCACUUCGGGAGGCGGCGGCAAGCAGAUCACCUGAGGUCAGGAGUUCGAGACUAGCCUGACCAACAUGGUGAAACCCCAUCUCUACAAAAAAUACAAAAAUUAGCCAGGCAUGGUGGCAGGUGCCUGUAAUGCUAACUACUCGGGAAGCUGAGGCAGGAGAAUUGCUUGAACCCAGGAGGUGGAGGUUGCAGUGAGCUGAGAUUGCGCCAUUGCACUCCAGCCUGGGCAACAAUAGCAAAACUCCAUCUCAAGAA